rnacentral:rRNA from 1 species
CCUACGGGGAGCAGCAGUGAGGAAUAUUGGUCAAUGGACGCAAGCCUGAACCAGCCAUGCCGCGUGCAGGAAGACGGCUCUAUGAGUUGUAAACUGCUUUUGUACGAGGGUAAACUCAGUUACGCGUAUCGCUCUGAAAGUAUCGUACGAAUAAGGAUCGGCUAACUCCGUGCCAGCAGCCGCGGGAAUACGGAGGAUUCGAGCGUUAUCCGGAUUUAUUGGGUUUAAAGGGUGCGUAGGCUGUUGGAUAAGUUAGAGGUGAAAUCCCGACGCGCAACUUCGGAAUUGCCUCUGAUACUGGUGGAAUAGAGAGUGGUAGCGGAAAGCGGAAUGUAUGGGGUAGGGGUGAAAUGCGUAGAGAUCA